rnacentral:rRNA from 1 species
UAGGGAAUCUUCCACAAUGGACGCAAGUCUGAUGGAGCAACGCCGCGUGAGUGAAGAAGGCUUUCGGGUCGUAAAACUCUGUUAUUGAAGAAGAACGUGUGUGACAGUAACUGGUCAUGCAGUGACGGUAUUCAAUCAGAAAGUCACGGCUAACUACGUGCCAGCAGCCGCGGUAAUACGUAGGUGGCAAGCGUUGUCCGGAUUUAUUGGGCGUAAAGCGAGUGCAGGCGGUCUUUUAAGUCUGAUGUGAAAGCCUUCGGCUUAACCGAAGAAGGGCAUCGGAAACUGGGA